rnacentral:rRNA from 1 species
GAUGAACGCUGGCGGCGUGCCUAAUACAUGCAAGUCGAGCGAACAGACGAGGCGCUUGCUCCUCUGACGUUAGCGGCGGACGGGUGAGUAACACGUGGAUAACCUACCUAUAAGACUGGGAUAACUUCGGGAAACCGGAGAUAAUACCGGAUAAUAUAUUGAACCGCAUGGUUCAAUAGUGAAAGACGGUUUUGCUGUCACUUAUAGAUGGAUCCGCGCCGCAUUAGCUAGUUGGUAAGGUAACGGCUUACCAAGGCAACGAUGCGUAGCCGACCUGAGAGGGUGAUCGGCCACACUGGAACUGAGACACGGUCCAGACUCCUACGGGAGGCAGCAGUAGGGAAUCUUCCGCAAUGGGCGAAAGCCUGACGGAGCAACGCCGCGUGAGUGAUGAAGGUCUUCGGAUCGUAAAACUCUGUUAUUAGGGAAGAACAAAUGUGUAAGUAACUAUGCACGUCUUGACGGUACCUAAUCAGAAAGCCACGGCUAACUACGUG